rnacentral:lncRNA from 1 species
GCGCUGGACCCUCCGCGUGGAUGCGCGGUACAGUCCGCCGGCGUCCCGCUGAGCCCUUGCCUUUCGUUGCGUGACCCGCGUUGUGGGCGGGGAAGCCGUCUGGGCCGGGUCGCCCUCCGAGACCCUUCUAGGGGUGGAGGCUGAAGAUCCAGUUCCUCACGUGAUCCUCCGGAGUUGGCAGGAAAGGAAAGGAAGCUGAGAGGACCGGAGUCAGGGAGGUCAGCGACAAGCGGCUGGAGCAGCACUUCCACCGCUGGGCCAGUCGCACUCCGGUUGUAGGAACUCCCUAAUCCAGAGCUGCGUCAGAAUCGCUGCAGGGGCCUGGUGCAGAGGCCAGCCCCGGUGUCGCCCCAGCACCGAUCCGGCCGCCUGGCGCGUCCCCUCCAAGCAGCACAGCCCCAUAGUAAGGCCCCCGAGGCUUCCUCUUAUCUGCCAUUUCGCUGUAACCUUUUCAGAAGUACUAAUAACAAAAUUUCCUCUUUUCACCCUUACCAUUAGGAUGUUUAGUUUGUAGCAGAAAUCUCAGCCAAAAGUGGUGUAGAAAGUAAGAGUGUCAUUAUCUUACGUAACAAGAAGCCUGCGCAGAUCUAGGGUGGUCCCUUAACUAACUCAACAGGGGCCUUAAACCAGCUUCCUUGGUUCAUCCGCUCUGCCAAGUGGCCUCCCCCUCAGGAAUCCAUGGGAGAAGACCACAGAACUGGUCUGGGCUGUGGCCAGUGGCAAAAUACUUGCCCAGCGUGUGUGAGGCACUGGGUUCAAUCCUCAGCGCUACAUAAAAAUAAAGGUACUGUCCAU